rnacentral:rRNA from 1 species
GUUUCGUAGUGACCUGCGGAGGAUCAUUAUUAAAAGUCAAUGAGUGCACUUAAUUGUGGCUCAGAAACCUUUAUAAAUCUUUUCACCCAUUAACC